UGCCUGAUAGUAUAACGGUAGUACAAGCGACUCUGACUCGCUUUGUCUUGGUUCGAAUCCAGGUCAGGCAACGA
rnacentral:tRNA from 1 species